rnacentral:rRNA from 1 species
GACGAACGCUGGCGGCGUGCCUAAUACAUGCAAGUAGAACGCUGAAGGAGGAGCUUGCUCCUCUGGAUGAGUUGCGAACGGGUGAGUAACGCGUAGGUAACCUGCCUGGUAGCGGGGGAUAACUAUUGGAAACGAUAGCUAAUACCGCAUAACAGUAGAUGUUGCAUGACAUUUACUUAAAAGGUGCAAUUGCAUCACUACCAGAUGGACCUGCGUUGUAUUAGCUAGUUGGUGGGGUAACGGCUCACCAAGGCGACGAUACAUAGCCGACCUGAGAGGGUGAUCGGCCACACUGGGACUGAGACACGGCCCAGACUCCUACGGGAGGCAGCAGUAGGGAAUCUUCGGCAAUGGACGGAAGUCUGACCGAGCAACGCCGCGUGAGUGAAGAAGGUUUUCGGAUCGUAAAGCUCUGUUGUAAGAGAAGAACGAGUGUGAGAGUGGAAAGUUCACACUGUGACGGUAUCUUACCAGAAAGGGACGGCUAACUACGUG